rfam:Glossina austeni unplaced genomic scaffold Scaffold26, whole genome shotgun sequence.
GAAAAGGUUUCUCUGGAAACCAGCCACGUAUGAUAUAAAAUUUUUU